rnacentral:rRNA from 1 species
UGGGGAAUUUUGGACAAUGGGGGAAACCCUGAUCCAGCCAUCCCGCGUGUGCGAUGAAGGCCUUCGGGUUGUAAAGCACUUUUGGCAGGAAAGAAACGUCGCGGGUUAAUACCCCGCGAAACUGACGGUACCUGCAGAAUAAGCACCGGCUAACUACGUGCCAGCAGCCGCGGUAAUACGUAGGGUGCAAGCGUUAAUCGGAAUUACUGGGCGUAAAGCGUGCGCAGGCGGUUCGGAAAGAAAGAUGUGAAAUCCCAGAGCUUAACUUUGGAACUGCAUUUUUAACUACCGGGCUAGAGUAUGUCAGAGGGAGGUGGAAUUCCGCGUGUAGCAGUGAAAUGCGUAGAUAUGCGGAGGAACACCGAUGGCGAAGGCAGCCUCCUGGGAUAACACUGACGCUCAUGCACGAAAGCGUGGGGAGCAAACAGGAUUAGAUACCCUGGUAGUCCACGCCCUAAACGAUGUCAACUAGCUGUUGGGGCCUUCGGGCCUUGGUAGCGCAGCUAACGCGUGAAGUUGACCGCCUGGGGAGUACGGUCGCAAGAUUAAAACUUAAAUGAAUUGACGGGGUCAUAGCUG